AUGGGGAGCCACUUGCUCCUAUAUUAUGGCAUAAUCUCGUCGAUCAAGACAGGUUGUUACACGCAGGAUGUCAACACACUCCAGCUUGAGAGGAUGUGUGCUUCCUAUCCCCACCCGUCAGAAGCAUAUUGCAACUUUCCACCAUUGUUAUUAUCAUCACCGACAGUGUCAAAUGUCCCACGCCACUCUAACCACCGAGGAGUGGACGAUGCUGUGCCGGCACCGGAACCACGACAAUCUGACCCUGGAGGCGUGGAAGGACCUACUGGUCAAGAACCGACGGACCUCGCCAGGGAACUGCCGUGCAAGCGCCGUCGUCGCAGCGGCCGCUAG
rnacentral:rRNA from 1 species